GCUCCUUUUGGGGUGCCAGUGAGGUUUUGAGGAGCUCUGCGAGGAUUUCUCCUGGGACAGAGCCAAGCAGGUGCCUGCGUUGCAGGCUCUGACAUCCCGCGUUGUGCCCGUUGUGUGCGCUUUGCUUUGCUGUCUGCGUGCCAUGGCGCUGAGCUCGCUGCUCCGGGCAUCUCACACCUCCUAACGCCGCCCGGCUUCAAAGCAUGCCACAGACACCGAGGGCCCACGGCUGCACACGUGAAGGCCAGGCUUUCAUUGAAGUCCGUACGAGAUGCAGAGGAGAUCCGUGCUACAGCUGAACUUGGCCGUCAGUAAAUGGCAGUGUAGUCUGCAGCAGAACAGAGGAAACCGCAGCCACAGCUCAUCUUUGUAUCUCGGGCUGGCUGGGCUGAAAGGUUCGCAGAAAAAACCCUGGGCAAGAUCAUUGCUUAAAUGCUCACGUGGACUCCUAAUUGUGGAAACAUGCUGAAUUAUGUGAUACAAUGCGCAGUUAUAUAACACCUUUUAUGAAAUUCUUGGCAAUAAAAUAAUGCAUAAAAAUAACAGAUGUGGCAAAUCACAACCACGUUCCGAAAUCGUUCUGUAGUUCGGUUUUGUGAAAACAAUGGGGUUGAUUUAAAUGGAUUUUUUUUUUUCCCUUUCCCCAAAAUGUCCACGGGCAAAGAAAUAUUUGAAAGAAAAGCGAAAAGGCUAAAAGUGCAAGCAGGGUUUCUUGUAAAGAAAUCUGUGUGUGUGCCUGUUAACUCCAGGGCUGCGGGAGGGAGCAGAGGCUCCAGCCCUGCUCGUGUGGCUCCUGCUCCCUUCAGCACGGCCAGCCUCAAUGAGCCAGGUGAGUUGUGUCCCCGAUGGUAAACUGGCAUGAGCAUCCUGAGCAACACCAGUGUGCAAUAGCCUUUGUAGGGUCCUUGCUUCACCCAAACCUAGCGGGGUGCCAGAGGUGAGCUGUGGGGGCUGCUCUGAAGGCCGUGGGGUUGGCGUUGAUGGCUGAGGCCCGGUGGAUUUCCGUGGGUUAAACAACCAAAGUCUCGGCGUGGUGGAGCUGUGGGCUGGCUGCUGGAUUGUGCAGGGCCCUGAGAGUACAUGGGCCUGAUCCUGCUCCUUGGGAGGAGACGGGUGUGUGAAAUACGGGCUCUCCAUCUUCCUAUUUUUAGGGCUGAGCUGCCCGUUGUGUCAGGCCCUAAAGCAGCAGAAGGAAAGCCUGGUGCCACCACAGAGCAAAUCCCCUGCUGAGAAUGUGGGGCUCUGGCCUCCAGCCCCUCGCUGUCCCCAGAGGCUGCCAGGGGACACCAAAGGAGGGCUGGCGGUGCCAAGGGGACAGGUCUGGGGCUCAGCUCUCCCCGUGCUGCUGUGGAGCUGUGCGGUGAUAAGGGGCUGUAAUCAGGGCAGCAUCUGCACGCGAACGAACGCUCUGCGACUCCACGGAGCUGAUAACGAGGAGCAGGCCCCAGAUAAACACUGACAAUUCACUCCUGUUCGCUGGGGGACAUGGUGUGCUGAACGUGGGCAGCCCACAGCUCAGGGAGCCUAAAACCAGACCCUAGGGCUUUAAACCAUGAGGCAAGGCUGUGCUGCUGCUGUGCAUGAGGGAGGGCAUGGGAUAUUGCUGAUAUUUGCUUGAUCUAUGUUUUAUUCUUUAAUCCUCUCUUUGCUUUCUGGCUAUUAGCCUUGUCUACAGCUGAUUUUUACAUCAGCUCGAGACCUGGCCCCAUGCGGGACCAUCCCUGACAUGAUAUCUCUGCAAUAACUGUGCUUCCCAAAACAGAAUUUGGCCCCUGGUCUGCUCCAGGAACACCCUGAGCAUCGCCUGGCAGCCCAGACGUGGGCGCAGGACCAUUUCUGAGCAAUCUGCCUAAGAGGUGCCAAUUAUUUCUUGGUAUCAGUUUUAAGAGUUUUUGUUCCUCGAUGGAAGAAAACGGCAGGACAUCUUCAACUGAAAGAGGGAAAAAUGGCAUUAAUAGCUGAUUUUUAUUAGUAGUGAAAAGAAAGACCUUUCGGUGAAAGGUUUCCAACUUUAAAAGAGGAAAUUUCGACCAAAAGAGAGAACUUACUGUUUUGAAAGAGUUUGCUGGGUGGAGACAUCAGACUGAGAGGAUCUUGUGCAACUCUGCUUUUUAGGCCUAAUACUAAAUUCACCCACUUAUUCCUGCGCUUUGCAUGGGAAAAUCACUGCGGAAUGCUACGGGAAAGGCAGAUUUUUAAUUGAGAGCUCUUCCAGGGUCAGGAAGGCCACACAAGACGUGUGGGGGGUGCUCUGUGCAGGUGGUGGCAGCUCGGGGACCAGGGCUCACCGUGUGCCUGCCCCUAACCCUGAGGCUGGAGAGGUUCAUAACGAGAGAGGUGCUGCUGGUGCACGGUUUCCCCUUCUCUGACCGGCACCUUUUGCUUUGGGCUUGCUGCCCGUCCUCCCCCUUGCACUGCCCCAGCGUGACCCAGCUGCCAGGCCCUGAUAAGGCUGAGGGGAGAUAAGAGGCUCGUUGCCUUCUCCUUCAUCUGCAGCACCGGCAAAUGGUGAGGGUCAGCUCUCAAAACCCUGCGAGUUCUGUGAAAUACAAGGGAAAGUGGCUCCCGAGUGCAAGGGGUCGUGCACAGCCCUGUCUGUGGAGGACGGAUUUGUUAAACACAAAGCUUUGGUGAAAGAACUGAAAGGGGAAAAGGAUUAAAGGGCAAUAGCAGGGAACAGGUUCCUCUUUUCCCCUGCACACCACCACGUCCCUCAAGAAGAUGCCUUGAAGCUCCAGGAAGGUUUUACCUUGAGCCAAGCCCCCGCUUGUUUAUGUGGCAGAGGGGCAAAGACACACCCCGAGAGACACAGAACGUGGCGUUUCACUGCACCAGGACCUGAAGGAGCAGCGCGCACAAACUGCAGCGGGGCGCGGAGCUCUGUGGCCAGCGUGGUUUUUCCUGCAGCAUGUGCUGUGUCCCGAGGAGGCACGAGAGACAGAGAAUAAAGCAGCAGCUAUGGACGGCCUGGGGUCUUCUCUGCCCCGAGCUGUGGCUUUGGAGGCUGCUGUCACUGCAGUACCUGCGCUGGUGUCGGUAGAGGAUCAGGUUCAAGUGCUUUUGCUGCGUCGUGCAGGGAUGAAUUAUGAUGUCAAAACAGAGCGAUGUUGUCACACAACCACCUCCCCUCCUGGGGUCAAGGUCCUGUUUUAUAGCUCGAGAGCCCAUUAGUCCGUUUAAAAGCAUAUGGCCAAGCACGGCCACAAAAAUCUCGUGUGUUUGGGUCAGAGCCGCAGACAAAAGGCUCUUUGUGCGAAGAGCUGACAGUGACAAAUAAAGAGGAACCUGUUGAUCUGGGGGAGAAAUGGAGGAUUAAGAAAAGAUCACAUGGUGAGAAAAAGACCUUGGCUGUUUGUCUGGAUGUCAGUCUUGUCUGUCAUUAAACUGCUUUCUGCAGCUAUUUGCUAAUAGGAAUACCGUCUCCUGCCCGUGUGUUUUGUCUGUCCUGCAAAAUGCUACCUGUGUCUGAGCGUGCCAGCCUCGUGGGACCACAUCAGAGAGGAGAUAUGCUCCUAACUGGAUCCUUGCCAUGUGCUAGGUGUUGCAUAAAAUAGUUAAUGCUUGCAAAUUCCUCUGAAAGCACUGGUAGUACCAGAAACUGUAAAUGCUUAAAAAAAUAAAAAAAAAAUGGUGUCUGUCCAAGCGUGCUACAUCAGCACAGGACACACGGACACGCACACAAAACACCAAUAACAAACCCUAACAAACCCCUUAUAAUUCAGCAAAGUUACUGGAGGCUGAACCAAGAGCUAUGUCUAAUGCUAAUAACAAGGAUAUUUCCCAAAGGUGACAUUUGAUUUCUAUCCAAACCCAGACAUAUUUGAAGCUUUGCCUGGAAGUCGUUGCAUCGCAGAUUAACUGGGACAAUUUAAUCUGUGAAUAACUUUGUAAAGCCUUCAGCCAGCUCUGAGGAUAACAGCAAUACAGUCUUGAGACUGGGCUACAAAGCACUUCACAGGUAAUGUGUUUUUUUCCACAGUAAGUCUGGAGAAAAUAGCGAAUUGCUUUGGUUUUGUGGGACACGCAUCUGGCAAGUGCGUAGUUCUGAUGGGCGUGCAGAAAACACUCUGAACAAAACCAUUUAUAUCGGGCAUUGAUGGGCUGCCUAAAAUGACCUCCAGAGUCUAUGAAGUGCACCAUAGAUUUUUAAAAAAUCUAUUAUAGUCCAUUAUGUUCUGGAUUGUGUCCGAGCACAUCAUGCUGGAGAAUGCAGCGACUCUGUAUUUCCUGGAGUAAAGGAGACCUAUGGAAAUGUGUUUAAUUCAAAAUAAAUGGGGGAAAAUAACAACAGAAUGCCUUUUCUCUGGUUUUUAUUUAUAUUUACAGCUGAAGAAACUGAGAUGGGGAAGGUGGCUGGAAAAUGAAACACAGAGGGAAACGUCCCUUGCUGUUCUUUCUGCACUGGUUUGAAAUCAAUGCAGAUAAUGCACUUGGAAGGACUGUCUCAUUUACUGGUUUUCAGUAAAUUGCUGGGCUGUGUUUCCCAGUGAUAACGUGAUAGUGACGUCUAUGCCAGUAAGAAUAUACUUGAAAAAAAAAAAGUCUGCAAUCCCUUGCAAGCAACGUUUGGCCAGUUUAGUCUGGGAUGCCCUAAUUCUGGACAUUGACAGUAAAUAUCUGGGGCUGCUGCCUGUCGCUCCCGGUGGCACAACGUGCUUCUGAUUUAUCUGUGGCUUCUCCCAAAGACACAACAAACCCCGUUUCAGCCUCCUGCAGUGUCAGGCAGUGAGAAAUGCCUUUGCCUGCUCACUACAGCCUUGCACAAACCUCCCUGGCACAGCAGAGGUGUCUUCUAACCAGGGCUCUUCCUUCUUCCUCAGUCCUGAUUUUUUCCCUGGAAGUUGGUGAUAAACUCCCAGUGACUUUGUUGCUGCUGGAUUAGACUCAGGGUCCAAUUAUCCUCCUUAAAAGUACAAACUAAUAAUUCAUACUUCUAAGUAGGCUUGCUAUGGACAGCACCACUAGGGAUUUAGUGCACAAUGCUGGAGUUGGUGCUUGGGUUUUCUCCUAAUAAUAUUUUUUAACUGGAGGCAGAUCUAUUUAUAUAUGCACCAGGAGAAUAAUUUUAUGAGUAAAUAUGAUCUUUAUUAAUAUUUUUCUUUGUUAAUUCACUCAUGCUAGUAAAGAACUUUGAAGAUGAAAGCACUGUAUGCAAUAAACAUUAAGAUUAUUCCAAUUUAUUUUAAUGUUGCCAGCAUUCCAGCUCCAUCAUCUUUCAUCCAAGAAUCUCAAAGUACUUUCCAAGUGCUAAUAAAUUUUCUCCCAACAGUCCCGGGAGAUAUUUAUUAUCAUCAUCCCCAUUUCAUAAAGGAGUCCUUCUGAGCGCAUUUUACUUGGUCAAAAUCGGGUCGUAUGGCAGGAAUCUAUUUGGGAAGGAGCCAACGAUCCCUGAUUCCCAUUCUCCUGCCCUUGCUGCUAGACCACAUUCCCUUCUGGGGAGUGUGGUGCGACACUCACCCGCGGCGCUCGCCUUCCUUUGUCAGGUGCUUGCAGUGGUUGCUCUUAAAACAAAAAAAAUAGACAACAAUAACAUGCCCCACCCAGGAUGGGAGAGGAAAUGAGACUCUGCAAAGUCAGAAUGAUCGCAGUUGUUCAUCGCACACAGUGGGCCAGGGUGAGGUUUGCUGGGAGUCCUGGCACCCACCUACCUGCCUUGUGCGCGUGGGGACAAAGGGGCUGCUUGGAGGGACAGAUUGGGGACACGUGUCCACAUCUCCUAGCUUGCAGGAGUAAAUCUAAAUUGGAGGCUGUUUCAGCGCCCUGUUGUAGUGCUGGAUUUUAUAAUCCAUACCCAAAAGACAGUUAAAAUGGGAAUAUUUUCUCAAACACAGCACAGGUGAGGGUGUAUAGAGGUGAAGAGUGCAGCUAAGCGUAAAAGAUCUGGGCUAAAUAGCACACGGUGCAGCUGCGCUUCUAAAGCACUCUCCCCAAACCAGAGGCUAAGCUAAUGAUGAGAAGACCGUUUAGAGACAGCAUGACUCCAGCAAUCCAUGAGAACAAUGCAAAGUUCAAAAAUAGCAGUAUCGACUGGUGGAAAAACAGCAUACAUAUAAUUUUCAGGUAAUUACUAUAGUAUAAUUAGCUCUGUUGUUUUCCUAAGAGCCAUCUGAAAUGAACUCUACUUGCUGCUGGGACCCGGCUUUAUUUACAGCGUUCCCAGGACUAAAGUGAUUCUUUAAAAAUAGAGAUUAGGAAAAAAAAAAAAAAAAAAAA